UUCAUGAACAGAUUUCCUAUUUUUUUCUUCUUCCAUUUUAACUUAAAUAAAAUAAAAGUUUCGCGCUUUCCGUAUAAAUAGGAACUAUCGAACGACCGAUCGGAAAGCAAUGCGAAGAUCGUGUAUCAUCGAUUAAUCGAAACGUACAAUUGAGAAGACGAUACUACGACGAUGAUGAGAACAACGGAGACAGCCGUGGCUCGUUCCGGAGGAUAGGCCACGGUGCUUCUGACCGGCACGUUAAACAACGCGAUCACUCUCGGCUACCUUCGGCACGGUUCGGGCGUAGCCAGGUGGAAGUCGGAUUAUGGAGAUGGAAAAGUAGCAGCGGUAUCUAUGAUCGUACGUCGGUGUAUAAUCGUAUGGCAUGCGUCUACAAAGGGUCAAAUUAUUCACGACUUUGUCGUCUCCUACCCCGUUUUAUUUUCUUAAAUUUUAUUUUUGAUUUUUUUGGCACGCUUUCGGAACAACACAUUUGUACGUUGUUACACAUCGUUUUUCUGUAUGAAGUAUCUCUUUUUAUUACGUUUUCACUUUACUUUAAAGAAUUUUGAUGAUAAUUAGGAAUACGGAGUUUCAAACGUUUAUAGUCUGUCUAUCAUUGAUAUUUUACAAAGAAUUUUACAAAGAACUUACGAUUACCUUUAUGCGUUAUCUUUGUUUUAUAUUUAAGAAUACAAAUUAUCAACAAUUAAACGAUAAAGAAGAUUUGAAUCAUAUGCCAAUGAAAAUAAUAAACGACGUAUCAUUAAUGUUGAAAAUAUAUUUUUUACUUCGUUUAUGAUCAGUUUGUAUCAAUUUAUAUACGAUUGGAUGUAUACACAUAUUUUUGUUCUUUCUUUACAGCUAUAUAUCUUAUAAUAUACAUACUAAUGCAUAAAGUUGAUGGUGAAAUACAGUGAUCGCUUUACCGGAAAUGUUUAUCAUUUAACAUUCGUUCAACGUAAUAUGAAAUGUGUCUUUAUGUAACGAGAACAAUUUUGACAAUGAAUUCAGAUAGUAUACAUUUUGCUAGUAAUAAUUGUCAUUUUCUCAAACGAUUAAAAUUUUAAUAAAAUAUUUUAUCUAGGGACGUAACAGUAAUGAAAUUUUCACCAAAGAAUUGUAUAAUAAACAUUUUCUUUUAAAAUUAUCUUACGAAUGUACAUUUCUUAUGUAUAAUACUUUUGAAAACUUUGUAGAUAAUACUUAUUAUACAGCGCAUUUUCAUUGUAAAUAAGAUAAUUACAUUAAUCAAGUAACAGCACUUUUUUUAUAAUAAGAAGCACGUACAACUUAUUGUAAUAGUAUAUAUUCUUCGUUGGCAUACAAAAUAUUUAUGAUAGCAUGUAAAGAUACUAUAUAUGACCUCAACAAAACGAGUACAAUUGUAUCUUUUAACGUAGUUUGAUUGAACUGUAAGAUACAAUCGAAUUUGAAAAAUAUAAAAAAUGAAGAAAAUAUGA